AAUGAACGCUGGCGGCGCGCCUAAUACAUGCAAGUCGAGCGAGAAGACGUAGCAAUACGUUUGUAAAGCGGCGAACGGGUGAGUAACACGUGGGUGACCUGCCCUCAGCUCUGGGAUAAGCCUGGGAAACCGGGUCUAAUACCGGAUAUGACUCCAUGACGCAUGUUGUGGGGUGGAAAGCCUUGUGCGGCUGAGGAUGGGCCCGCGGCCUAUCAGCUUGUUGGGGGGUG
rnacentral:rRNA from 1 species